rnacentral:rRNA from 5 species
AGAGUUUGAUCCUGGCUCAGGACGAACGCUGGCGGCGUGCCUAAUACAUGCAAGUCGAACGCUUCUUUUUCCACCGGAGCUUGCUCCACCGGAAAAAGAGGAGUGGCGAACGGGUGAGUAACACGUGGGUAACCUGCCCAUCAGAAGGGGAUAACACUUGGAAACAGGUGCUAAUACCGUAUAACAAUCGAAACCGCAUGGUUUUGAUUUGAAAGGCGCUUUCGGGUGUCGCUGAUGGAUGGACCCGCGGUGCAUUAGCUAGUUGGUGAGGUAACGGCUCACCAAGGCCACGAUGCAUAGCCGACCUGAGAGGGUGAUCGGCCACAUUGGGACUGAGACACGGCCCAAACUCCUACGGGAGGCAGCAGUAGGGAAUCUUCGGCAAUGGACGAAAGUCUGACCGAGCAACGCCGCGUGAGUGAAGAAGGUUUUCGGAUCGUAAAACUCUGUUGUUAGAGAAGAACAAGGAUGAGAGUAACUGUUCAUCCCUUGACGGUAUCUAACCAGAAAGCCACGGCUAACUACGUGCCAGCAGCCGCGGUAAUACGUAGGUGGCAAGCGUUGUCCGGAUUUAUUGGGCGUAAAGCGAGCGCAGGCGGUUUCUUAAGUCUGAUGUGAAAGCCCCCGGCUCAACCGGGGAGGGUCAUUGGAAACUGGGAGACUUGAGUGCAGAAGAGGAGAGUGGAAUUCCAUGUGUAGCGGUGAAAUGCGUAGAUAUAUGGAGGAACACCAGUGGCGAAGGCGGCUCUCUGGUCUGUAACUGACGCUGAGGCUCGAAAGCGUGGGGAGCAAACAGGAUUAGAUACCCUGGUAGUCCACGCCGUAAACGAUGAGUGCUAAGUGUUGGAGGGUUUCCGCCCUUCAGUGCUGCAGCUAACGCAUUAAGCACUCCGCCUGGGGAGUACGACCGCAAGGUUGAAACUCAAAGGAAUUGACGGGGGCCCGCACAAGCGGUGGAGCAUGUGGUUUAAUUCGAAGCAACGCGAAGAACCUUACCAGGUCUUGACAUCCUUUGACCACUCUAGAGAUAGAGCUUCCCCUUCGGGGGCAAAGUGACAGGUGGUGCAUGGUUGUCGUCAGCUCGUGUCGUGAGAUGUUGGGUUAAGUCCCGCAACGAGCGCAACCCUUAUUGUUAGUUGCCAUCAUUCAGUUGGGCACUCUAGCAAGACUGCCGGUGACAAACCGGAGGAAGGUGGGGAUGACGUCAAAUCAUCAUGCCCCUUAUGACCUGGGCUACACACGUGCUACAAUGGGAAGUACAACGAGUCGCGAAGUCGCGAGGCUAAGCUAAUCUCUUAAAGCUUCUCUCAGUUCGGAUUGCAGGCUGCAACUCGCCUGCAUGAAGCCGGAAUCGCUAGUAAUCGCGGAUCAGCACGCCGCGGUGAAUACGUUCCCGGGCCUUGUACACACCGCCCGUCACACCACGAGAGUUUGUAACACCCGAAGUCGGUGAGGUAACCUUUU